AUAUCUGGAGAAGCCUGCCGGCUUUUUAAGUCAGCGCAGGUGCCGAAGGUGCAAGGCGAAAGCCUAAUCUCUCAGGCAAAAGGACGGAUAGAG
rnacentral:ncRNA from 1 species